rnacentral:rRNA from 1 species
GAUGAACGCUGGCGGCGUGCCUAAUACAUGCAAGUCGAGCGAAUGGAUUAAGAGCUUGCUCUUAUGAAGUUAGCGGCGGACGGGUGAGUAACACGUGGGUAACCUGCCCAUAAGACUGGGAUAACUCCGGGAAACCGGGGCUAAUACCGGAUAACAUUUUGAACCGCAUGGUUCGAAAUUGAAAGGCGGCUUCGGCUGUCACUUAUGGAUGGACCCGCGUCGCAUUAGCUAGUUGGUGAGGUAACGGCUCACCAAGGCAACGAUGCGUAGCCGACCUGAAAGGGUGAUCGGCACCACUGGGACGGAGACACGGCCCAGACUCCUACGGGAGGUAGCAGUAGGGAAUCUUCCGCAAUGGCCGAAAGUCUGACGGAGCAACGCCGCGUGAGUGAUGAAGGCUUUCGGGUCGUAAAACUCUGUUGUUAGGGAAGAACAAGUGCUAGUUGAAUAAGCUGGCACCUUGACGGUACCUAACCAGAAAGCCACGGCUAACUACGUGCCAGCAGCCGCCGUAA